CGGGUAGUUUAAUAAACUGGUUUAACGUUGUGAUAAAUUAGUCGGUUUCUUUUAUAUCUGUUUAACGCCCUAGAUUUCUGUUUAUUUAUAAGGCAGUGAGGUCUUAUAAACGUAUAUAUACAUGAUAUGUAGUUAAUUAAACAGGGUUAAAAAUCCCCUAUUAUAGUAGGUUUGUUAAAAUUUAUUCGAUAUUUAUUUGUAUUAUUUAUAUAUGGUGUUUAUAUUUAACAGUUUGUUAUAUUUAUGAUACAAUAAGUAAUAAGAUAAAUUUUAUUGUUUCUCGAACAUAUUCCGUCUGUUUAUUAAAAMCAUUUCUAUAUUAAUUUUUUUAUAGUAUGACCYGCYCSAUGUUUAAUUAUUAAUG
rnacentral:rRNA from 1 species